ACAAGAAAAGCAAAUAUUUUUAUUUUCAUCCGCCUCUUUGUUUAAUUUCCCUCUCUUUCCCAAAACCCUUCAGGUGCGCCUCGACUUUCUGCCCUAUUCGCCGGCUCGGGAGGCAGUCUAUGAUUUGAUUCAUCACGAUAUCUGGUUUCCUCUCGUGCCCGAUCGAUUCUCUUGUCUUCGCUCUCCAAUUCCUCCCCUCACACUGCCGGCAGCCUAGGGAAGUUGGAUGCCGACGGCCCCGAUGGCGCUACUUCCUCCUCAAGGCCACUGGCCCUCUAGGUAACACUGCCACCUCGACUGUUGCUCCAACAAUUUUGGAUGGUGCCUUCCUCCUGAAUCUUCUGCAGAAGACGCCUCAACGCUCUCGACCAUCGGUCUCCGCUCCCCAGCACUACAUUGACCUGGCUGUCACUGCCGUAGGGCCUAGCCACUCGUUCCUCCCCCACAAGAUCCUUUGCCCUCGUCCGCCAGGUCACUUUUCUGGGCACCUUCUUUUUCCUUCCCCUCCUAUAUCCUUGCCUCCGAGCCUUUUCCCUCACGAUGUUAGUGGCGCUGCGAAUCUGGGGUACUGCCCAUUAUUUCCUUUUGAUCACCAAAAAUUAAGCUUUUCUGCGGGAGGCGUCCAUCCUUUUGCUGGUCCCCGUCAAAGGAAUGAUCUUUCUCAAAAUCAUGGACAGUCACUUAGCGAUAGUGCUAUUGCUGAGCAUAUGGUGACAGCUAGAUAGAAUUCGAUUCUUCAGGGUCCAAAUGACAGGAGUUCUGCGCGUGCCUCGCUGGGGUUUUACAAGUUACAAGGAGGUGUCAGUGUGGUCGAUACUGGAUCUGCGAAAUGGAGUUUUAUUGAUGGCAGGGCGAUAAGAGACCAUGAAAAAGUGCAAGCAGAGAGACCAAAUGGGCCUUCUCAUAGGAAUAACGCUGGGGUUGCGACGCCGUCCACAAUGAAGACUGGGCAAAGGAGGCAGACAGACAACACUCACCACCAACAAGAGGGGGGAAACCAUUUUGACUCUUCUAUGGUAGAAAGAUGUAGUCAGAGGCAGAACGAUCAUGCUUCUGAUCCACUCAUGGCAGAUGCUCAAGGCGGAUAUGUAUCAUUUGGAAAUCUGCAAGAUAAGUAUAUCCAUUCUCUCAAUUGGAGGGAACAGAGGAAUCACACAUUCUCUGAGCUUAGUUUUGAUAGCACCACACCUAAUUUUAGAGGAAAGGAUACUGAGGAACCUUAUAAACAAGUUUGUGACAGAUUUCUAGCAAGUUAAGUUAUGGGACAAGUCAAAGAUGAGAUGUAAGGGAGUUGUUGGGCGUCUCUGCAAUUGCUGUCGUCGAAGGUAUUAACAAAAUCAUCACCGGUAAUCUGAUUUCGCUGUCAGAACAACAAUUAGUGGACUGCGAUGCAAACAAAGAUGCUUGCAAUGGUGGAUUGAUGGAUGUUGCGUUCGAGUACAUCAUUGGCAAUCCUGUCGUCAGCAGCGAGAAGGCCCAACCAUACACAGGCAAACAGGGGACUUGCAAGAAAGAAAUAUAAGAAUGUCUAUUUGAAUCUCAAAAUACAACUAAUAUUGUUGAUGAUGCAAUGAGUCCUAUGUUUGGUAAGGAAGCUCGGGUAGAGUGCGCAUAAUGAGCUUUGAAGUUUUUGACGACGCAAUAAGAAGCAUGGUCGCAUGACUAUCUAAAUUUAUAGUAUUGUGUUAUUGAUACAUAUUCUAUUGAUUUGUAUGGAUUAAAGUUUAAUUGUUGUUAUAUAUGUACUAGCUAGUUUGUUAGAGAUUUUGUACCUUGUUUUAGAUCUUCGGACGCUCUAUUUUGGUAUAAUAAAAAACAAUGACUUUUGUUAA